rnacentral:misc_RNA from 1 species
AAGUCGUAACAAGGUUUCCGUAGGUGAACCUGCGGAAGGAUCAUUAUCACAAAAUGAUUUUAGCUUUCCCAAAAUUAAUCCUUUGGGAAGCUAACCUCUUCUAAACCAAUUUAAACAAAUGUGAAACUGUUUCAAAUUUGCUUUUUUUUAUUUGCGAUGAAUGGGUGAAUAUCUUCGCCUGUUCAGACCAAAGUGAAAAACAAAUUUCUUCUUUUUUAACCAAUUGAACCCUUUUUCUAAUUUAAUGUUAUUUUAUUUCUAUUUAGUUCUGAAAUACUUCAUUAUAUGCUUUUGCUCUUCAUUGAGCACAAAGAAUAUAAUAAGGAAUUACAUUACGAAACAAUAAAAAUAAAACAACUCUUAGCAACGGAUAUCUUGGUUCUC